GUGUGACUGCGUACCUUUUGUAUAAUGGGUCAGCGACUUAUAUUCUGUAGCAAGGUUAACCGAAUAGGGGAGCCGAAGGGAAACCGAGUCUUAACUGGGCGUUAAGUUGCAGGGUAUAGACCCGAAACCCGGUGAUCUAGCCAUGGGCAGGUUGAAGGUUGGGUAACACUAACUGGAGGACCGAACCGACUAAUGUUGAAAAAUUAGCGGAUGACUUGUGGCUGGGGGUGAAAGGCCAAUCAAACCGGGAGAUAGCUGGUUCUCCCCGAAAGCUAUUUAGGUAGCGCCUCGUGAAUUCAUCUCCGGGGGUAGAGCACUGUUUCGGCAAGGGGGUCAUCCCGACUUACCAACCCGAUGCAAACUGCGAAUACCGGAGAAUGUUAUCACGGGAGACACACGGCGGGUGCUAACGUCCGUCGUGAAGAGGGAAACAACCCAGACCGCCAGCUAAGGUCCCAAAGUCAUGGUUAAGUGGGAAACGAUGUGGGAAGGCCCAGACAGCCAGGAUGUUGGCUUAGAAGCAGCCAUCAUUUAAAGAAAGCGUAAUAGCUCACUGGUCGAGUCGGCCUGCGCGGAAGAUGUAACGGGGCUAAACCAUGCACCGAAGCUGCGGCAGCGACGCUUAUGCGUUGUUGGGUAGGGGAGCGUUCUGUAAGCCUGCGAAGGUGUGCUGUGAGGCAUGCUGGAGGUAUCAGAAGUGCGAAUGCUGACAUAAGUAACGAUAAAGCGGGUGAAAAGCCCGCUCGCCGGAAGACCAAGGGUUCCUGUCCAACGUUAAUCGGGGCAGGGUGAGUCGACCCCUAAGGCGAGGCCGAAAGGCGUAGUCGAUGGGAAACAGGUUAAUAUUCCUGUACUUGGUGUUACUGCGAAGGGGGGACGGAGAAGGCUAUGUUGGCCGGGCGACGGUUGUCCCGGUUUAAGCGUGUAGGCUGGUUUUCCAGGCAAAUCCGGAAAAUCAAGGCUGAGGCGUGAUGACGAGGCACUACGGUGCUGAAGCAACAAAUGCCCUGCUUCCAGGAAAAGCCUCUAAGCAUCAGGUAACAUCAAAUCGUACCCCAAACCGACACAGGUGGUCAGGUAGAGAAUACCAAGGCGCUUGAGAGAACUCGGGUGAAGGAACUAGGCAAAAUGGUGCCGUAACUUCGGGAGAAGGCACGCUGAUAUGUAGGUGAAGUCCCUUGCGGAUGGAGCUGAAAUCAGUCGAAGAUACCAGCUGGCUGCAACUGUUUAUUAAAAACACAGCACUGUGCAAACACGAAAGUGGACGUAUACGGUGUGACGCCUGCCCGGUGCCGGAAGGUUAAUUGAUGGGGUUAGCGCAAGCGAAGCUCUUGAUCGAAGCCCCGGUAAACGGCGGCCGUAACUAUAACGGUCCUAAGGUAGCGAAAUUCCUUGUCGGGUAAGUUCCGACCUGCACGAAUGGCGUAAUGAUGGCCAGGCUGUCUCCACCCGAGACUCAGUGAAAUUGAACUCGCUGUGAAGAUGCAGUGUACCCGCGGCAAGACGGAAAGACCCCGUGAACCUUUACUAUAGCUUGACACUGAACAUUGAGCCUUGAUGUGUAGGAUAGGUGGGAGGCUUUGAAGUGUGGACGCCAGUCUGCAUGGAGCCGACCUUGAAAUACCACCCUUUAAUGUUUGAUGUUCUAACGUUGACCCGUGAUCCGGGUUGCGGACAGUGUCUGGUGGGUAGUUUGACUGGGGCGGUCUCCUCCUAAAGAGUAACGGAGGAGCACGAAGGUUGGCUAAUCCUGGUCGGACAUCAGGAGGUUAGUGCAAUGGCAUAAGCCAGCUUGACUGCGAGCGUGACGGCGCGAGCAGGUGCGAAAGCAGGUCAUAGUGAUCCGGUGGUUCUGAAUGGAAGGGCCAUCGCUCAACGGAUAAAAGGUACUCCGGGGAUAACAGGCUGAUACCGCCCAAGAGUUCAUAUCGACGGCGGUGUUUGGCACCUCGAUGUCGGCUCAUCACAUCCUGGGGCUGAAGUAGGUCCCAAGGGUAUGGCUGUUCGCCAUUUAAAGUGGUACGCGAGCUGGGUUUAGAACGUCGUGAGACAGUUCGGUCCCUAUCUGCCGUGGGCGCUGGAGAACUGAGGGGGGCUGCUCCUAGUACGAGAGGACCGGAGUGGACGCAUCACUGGUGUUCGGGUUGUCAUGCCAAUGGCACUGCCCGGUAGCUAAAUGCGGAAGAGAUAAGUGCUGAAAGCAUCUAAGCACGAAACUUGCCCCGAGAUGAGUUCUCCCUGACUCCUUGA
rnacentral:rRNA from 1 species